rnacentral:lncRNA from 1 species
AAAUAGUAAAAUAUGGACAAAUUACGUGUGUGACAUAUCUGUCAAAAUAAGUUAGAAGCUUAUUCUUGGUUUGUGUAAUGAAUUUAUGUAUUGUAGUGAAUACCUUUACUGCUGUGAAGAUAAUUAUGCACAAACCCUCACAAUACGCGUUAACAUUGAAACCUAUGAAAUGUCCUUAGUUUGGGUCGUAUAAAGCCAACCAUUUUUGAGGACCAUGUACCUAGUGCUUUGAAAACUGAUUUCCAGAUGUGACUUGCACUCAGAAGAUCAGUGGUCAACUUCAGGAGCUCUUCCACGCUUAGAUCAUGUCUUCAGAACUUAGAUGUGAAAAUCUACACACUGGGAGAUGCUGUGAGCCCCAAGGUUUUGAUGGAGUUUGCUUGGAAUCCUCUUGACUUCAUGCCACAUUGACGUGAACUUUGAUGUAUAAUAAGCAGCAGCAACUUCAUGUGAAAAUAUUGUCAGGACAUGGGCAAACAUGCUGAUUGGUGCAAAUGUGGUGCCGAGCUGUCCAUAGCUGCAGUGAAAGAUGAAGAGCAAGACCUUCUCUAGGUUUUCUAGCUUUCAUUAAAUGUAUUUUUUCCCCCAGAGCUAAUUUGAAAGUUGAUUGGACCACUGUGGAUGGGGUCUCAUUAAGAAUGUGGGAAAUAGGGGCCGAGUGCGGUGGCUGACACCUGUAAUCCCAGCAGUUUGGAAGGCCAAGGCGGGUGGAUCGCUUGAUCCCAGGAGUUCGAGACCAGCCUGGGGAACACAUCCUGUCUCUACAAAAAAUACAAAAAUUAGCCAGGCAUGGUGGUGCCUGCUUGUAGUCCCAGCUACUUGGGAGGCUGAGGCAGGAGAAUUUUUUGAGCCCGGGAUGCGGAGGUUGAAGUGAGCCAAGAUUGUGCCACUGCACUCCAGCCUUGAGACAGAGCGAGACCCUGUCUCAAAAAAAAAAAAAAAGAACGUGGGAAAUAUGAACCUUUGAAAGUUAAUCUGUGAAUUGAAAGUUUAACAAUAAAAGUAGUUGUUUCUGUUUCCUUUGGAAGAGUUUUGUUCCAGAUAUUUGUAAUUUGGUUGUUUGUAAUUUGGAAUGAGAGAAUUUUUUUUUCCUUAGGAGUGAUUGCAAGAAAUUAACAUGAACAACAGUGGUCAUAACUGAUUAAAAGCUGAC